UCUUGAGCACCUUCUGCGCGGCCAUGAUCUUCUGGCGCUCGGUGAUCAGGUAGCACUUCUCGCAGGUGCACUGCUUCCAGCGGCACUUGCCCGCGUGGCCCUUGACCGGCACCAGGAAGCCGUGGUUCCGGCACCGCGAGCACUUCGGGGUCCGCAGCAUCUUGUCGGCCAGCCCGGCGGGGUCUGCCUUCAUAGCACAACCGCCACCUCCGGGAGCUGCCGAGCGAGUGCAGCGAGGACGAGCGGCGCCCCGCAAGUCCCUGGCGCUGGGGACUUUGGAUACACUUGUAACAAAGUGGUCUCGUAGGUCCCGGGAACUGCACGGGACCCUUGCAUUUUCCCUCCUUUUUUUGGAGUGCAAAAUGUGGAGGCUUUCCGUGUCUUAGUGAAUUGCAUGCAAAGGCUUGGGUGGAAGAGAUUCUUCGGGGAGUGCUAGUGCAUGUAUGUCGUCCAGGUUAUCUCAAGUCUUACCGUUUAAUUUUCCAAACUUUCUGUUCCCGCCACAGCGUGGACAGAAGAGGUUUCUGUAACUUCAAAAAAGGCGGAGUGAUAGUCAACGGUCCAACAGAUUUAAAGCUCCAGAGGAACAGGCCUCUCCGUACACACCCGUUCCAGGAGAAAAGCAUUGAAGGGGGCAAACCAUGUUUCUCCUUCCAAAAGUUUCUGCUUCUGCUGGAUUUCAUUUCUCUCUCCUGCUGAGAAGCAGCGGCUCACGGUGAUGCUUCCAGAAUAUUCUCAAGAGCUCAGCGCAGUAUGAUGGUUGCUCAAGGGUGUGCCCUACUAGCAAGAUAGAGAAAUGCAUUUCUGGCAAAUGGUGCGUUGCUGUUGUUGAUGGCUUCCAAGGUCCAAAAAAUGGGAAAAUUAAUCACCAACACCUACAUUGAAAAGCUUGUAAUCACAGGAUCAGACAUAUUUAAGAAGAAUGGCAGAAGCCGAGGCCUGGUGUCCACCUUGAAUUUCUGGAGCUCUUGGUUGCUGCUGGCUCCUUUGCAUUUCUCACCAGCAGCCUGACAAUAGGGAAUGGUUGCCAUUCUGAGGCUGAUUAGAAACUGGGACCUGAAAAGAGGUUUGUAAGGCCCUUUUCUGCUUUAAAGAAAUAUAUUCCUCAUUUUAAUAAGAGGGCAAAAGUAUAUGCUUCCUGUAUUAUUUGGCCCUUCAGGGAUUUCACUGGUAAUUUUACAUCCAUUUAAAGAGAUCUAGGUUGUCUCUGCUUUGCUCUAACACCCCUAAGUCUUAGUUUUUGAUUUAAAAAAAUAUGAUCCUGUAGAUAAAAGAACAGGCAUGCUCAUUUUCUGACUCCACCAAUUCAAAAUGUCUAAUUUUUUCACUGAACUUGUCAUUCGAAAGUGGUACUUAAAAAUCAUAGUUUCAAUACUACUGUCAAAAAAUCUGGGGCAUAAGCUGCAUUGUUUCAUGAUAAGGUCAUAUUCUGCAUUAUCAGAUUUAAAUUUUAACAUUCGAGGAUAAGACAAAAAAGAACACUGCUCUCAUUUACAUUUCAUGCUUGACCACCCAAGCUCUCUUCAUUUUCCUAUUAAUGAUUUAAAGGAAAAUCCUAUUCAAAGCCAACUAUUCGAAUUAACAUAUUUUGGCCUUGUUAACUACAAAAUGCUUCCAUAUUUACUUCAUAGCUUUAGAGGCAGAAUAUACCCAUAGGUGAUGUGAAUUUGCAUCAUGCUUUGAGAACAUUAAUAAACAACCAUAUAUCUUUUUAAUCAGUAGUCACAUUAUAAGAUGCAAAAACCCCAGGGUUUACAGAGUAAACAAAUCUAAGAAAAAAGAAAAAAAGACUAGUUUAUUUCUCUCUUCCCUGGGAAGUCUCAAUUUGUGUAGGUAAAUUCCAACAGAGCUUUAUUUAUUUCACUCUUGGAAAUUCAGGAAAAUUGAUAGUUUUGUUUUAUUUAGUUUGAUGACUGAUUACUUCUUAGGCUGCUGCUUUUUUAAAGAAAUAUAUACGUUUCUUUAAAUUGUUAUUUUUUAAAAAUGGUAAAAAUGAAAAACUGAAGUCAUAAAAAGAUGGGAGCCAUAAGUAUAUAGUAGACUACCUUUUUUUCUCCACACCUAAACCUUAGGAUAUUUAUGUUUAAGAAAGUCUGCAUCCAGCCCCGGUGGCGCAGCAGUUUAGCGCCGCCUGCAGCCUGGGGUGUGAUCCUGGAGAUCCAGGAUCGAGUCCCACAUUGGACUCCUUGCAUGGAGCCUGCUUCU